ACCGUGCAAAGGUAGCAUAAUCACUUGCCUAUUAAUUGUAGGCUAGAAUGAAAGGACAAACGAGAAUACACCUGUCUCCUUUAAGCCCCUAAAAAUUUAUCUUUAAGUGAAGAAGCUUAAAUAAACGUGCAGGACAAGAAGACCCUAUAGAGCUUUACCUAUAAGCCACAUAAACAGUGGUUAGCGGUUCGGUUGGGGCGACCAGGGGAUACUAACCACCCCUAAAUUAUAAGAUCAACUAAUCCUAUCAUAGAUCCUUUAUCAAGAUCAAAGAAUCAAGCUACCUUAGGGAUAACAGGCUAAUCCUCUUAGAGAGCCCUUAUCGACAAGAGGGG
rnacentral:rRNA from 1 species